UACGUAGGCAGCGAGCGUUGUUCGGAGUUACUGGGCGUAAAGGGGUGUGUAGGCGGUUGUUUAAGUUUGGUUGUGAAAUCUCCCGGCUCAACUGGGAGGGUGCGCCGAAUACUGAAUGACUUCGAGUACGGGAGAGGUGAGUGGAAUUCCUGGUGUAGCGGUGAAAUGCGUAGAUAUCAGGAGGAACACCGGUGGUGUAGACGGCUCACUGGACCGUAACUGACGCUGAGACACGAAAGCGUGGGUAGCAAACAGG
rnacentral:rRNA from 1 species